GUGACGAAGUGGGACUGUUCUUAAUGUUUCCUCUGAAUAGUGUGGGGGUGCCUCAGUUUCCCCUAGGCAGUUCUUAAGUAUCUAGGGGGUGGGGUAAGGGUGUAGGAUCAUUGCAGAGCCCUAGAGGGCAGGUGUGUGCAGGGGUCUGGACACAGAGAAUGGCCGACACCCUGUUUCCUGGCAACUGAUGGCCUGGGCCCUUCCCCCCUGCAAGGUGAGAGCUAAAGGGUUGGAGAACAAAGAAAUCAGGUGCCCUCCUGGGCCGGGAAAGGGACAAAGCCCAGAGGAGGAGGGGCUGGAGGGAGUUUCAGUUUGGGGCUGGCUGGGGACAUGGAGUGAAGGGCAGACAGGGUUGUCUGGCUCACCGCCCCCCAAAAUGGACCCGGCUGAGGGGUCCUGUUCUCUGCACCUACAAGCUCUGUGUUAGACCAUGUUCCUGUCGUCUAAAAAACCUUCUGUUUUCCUGGCUGGCUGAGAGUCACAUCUGCCUGCGGAGUUGGGGGGCAGGACCCUUUAGCUUCCCCAGGACCCUGCCUGGGCGGACUCGCUGUGAGAAGCGCACAGAGGGGCAGAGGAUGCUGAAUGCUCCGAGGUCAGACCCAGGAAGGUGGAAGCCGUGUGAGCUGUGUGUCCUGCAGACAGGCUGCUCCCAGAGAGGAGACUUCCCCAGAGUCCUGACUGGCUUCAUGGGGAGCAGUUCCAGAGCAUCGCCUGGGGACUCCGUGACACCCACCCCCCAUCAGCCCCAAACACUUGACCCUAAUUUACUCCAGCCUUUCAAAGGGAGAAGGGUGCGAGCUCCGGACUCCGCAGGGGCUGCUGCCGCCAGUCCCAGCCCCUGAGCAGGGAUGUGGAGCCACAGGGCUGCGG